UACGAAGGGGGCUAGCGUUGCUCGGAUUUACUGGGCGUAAAGGGCGCGUAGGCGGUUUGCAUAGUCAGACGUGAAAUUCCUGGGCUUAACCUGGGGGCUGCGUUUGAUACAUGCAGGCUUGAGUUCGGAAGAGGGUCGUGGAAUUCCCAGUGUAGAGGUGAAAUGCGUAGAGAUCGGGAGGAACAUCAGUGGCGAAGGCGGCCAUCUGGAUCAACACUGACGCUAAGGCACGAAAGCGUGGGGAGCAAACAGG
rnacentral:rRNA from 1 species